GCUAUUAGAGCUUACUCCAAUAGUCAGAACUCUUGGUGUAAGGUGAUGUCUCCAAUUGGCGCGUGAUCAAGGACUGCAAAGAGUGGAAAUCCAAACUGAUGUUGUGGCGGUUGCAGACAACAUCUCAGGCAAGAGGACAAAUGCUAAUUUUGGUCCUUUACGAACAAAAAACGGAAUAGAUUAGUCCCUACAAAUAAACCAAACUAUUUUAGUCGCUUAUAAAAAUAAAUUAAGACAAUUUAAUCUACAAAAUUUUUUAGUCAAACAUGUUUUGAUAUUUUUGGACAAGGUAAAAUGAGAUUAAUAUUAAGAACAGUGAUUCCCCCUGCACAAAGCGUGCAAAAGAAGAACCACACCAAAGUAUUUACAAAGUUACGGUACUAAACAACAAAGGCGCCAACCAAACACAAGCACCAACAAAACAAGAUGAAGAGUUACAAAAGAACUCCCAUACAAGGGAGCGGAUGCUUGCACCAAUCAUGAUAACUAUAGGUGAAAGUUGCCUUUUUUGCUUUAAUCCAAAGAAAAUAAUUUAGUUUCACCUUUUCAAUUAAAAUAGUUGGAGUAGAAACCACCUGUUGAAAGACUUGGUUGUUCCUCUCCUUCCAUAACACCCAAAACGAGGCAAACUGUUAUCAUGGUUUUGGGGUGCCAAGCCAUUAAUUGGACUUG
rnacentral:lncRNA from 1 species